GGAAUGCGGUGGAUUGCACUUAAAGCUAUGACUUGUUUUUCACUUCUUUCCUGAGCUAGCCUAAUUGACUUGAUUCCUCGCCGUUGCGCUGCUGCGUGUUAUUUUCCUCCAGCCACUACAGAUUCCUUCGCAGCAGAAAGCAUUGAAAGCGUCACGAGGUACUCCCUCGUCGCCAAACAGCUGUUGAAAGCGCGCGGUUGCUCGACCUUCAUAUCUGUCCAGUGGGGAAUAAUAUUGUACGCAAGUUGGCCUUCGAUAUGAGACAUGAACAACGCUGCCUUCGUGGACACUAUUUCUGAAGGCCUCAUUGUUUCGUUACUCCAGCGCUUCCUGAGCAUUUUCCAAAUUUCUCUCGUCGGCAGCGUUCUACUGUGGACAAGUCUCAUGCUAGCAGCAUUUGCACCUAACAUGGAGCUCAUGACUUUACUUUUGGGUGCUGUGCAUGCAUGGUGCCCCCACUGACCGACAAGAGUCCUUGGCUUCCAUUGUCGCAGGAGCUCAAGACUCGAGUGUUCAACGGCAAUGGCACCGAGAAUUUCACCAGCUAUUUUGCCGAAUGCAGAAAGUAUAAAGUGUAUAUCUGAAUAGUUUUUCACUAAAAACGUCAAAACAGU